rnacentral:snRNA from 11 species
AGAUUCUCAGCCAGAAGUUUGACUGUGACCUCUGUCACCCCAUUGAUCACCAGGGUUGAUUAGACUGAUCUGGCUGGCUAGGCAGGUGUCCCCUUUCUCCCUUACCACUCAAUGUGCAUCUUUCCCAAAGCUGCACGCUCGAUGGAAGAGGACAACGCCCCAGGUAUAGGAGUGUACCGAGGUCUCCUCUGCUAGAACCUGCUCCAAACGGGCUCAAGAAGGCUAAAGUGUCACUGUCUCAGCCACUUUUG